UACGUAGGGUGCGAGCGUUAAUCGGAAUUACUGGGCGUAAAGUGUGCGCAGGCGGCCAAGCAAGUCGAGUGUGAAAGCCCCGGGCUUAACUUGGGAAUUGCGCUCGAAACUACUUUGCUGGAGUGUGGCAGAGGAAGGUGGAAUUCCACGUGUAGCGGUGAAAUGCGUAGAGAUGUGGAGGAACACCAAUGGCGAAGGCAGCCUUCUGGGCCACCACUGACGCUCAUGCACGAAAGCGUGGGGAGCAAACAGG
rnacentral:rRNA from 1 species